rnacentral:rRNA from 1 species
CGGGGUGCACCAGGCGCGAAAACUUCGCAAUGCGCGUAAGCGUGACGAGGGGAUUCUGAGUGCUUAGAUUAUUAGGCUUUUCUCGAGAGCGAAUACUCGGGGAAUAAGUGGUGGGCAAGACUGGUGCCAGCCGCCGCGGUAACCCCAGCGCCACAAGUGGGAUCCACGUUUAUUGGGUCUAAAGCGUCCGUAGCCGGUCUGGCAAAUGCCCUUUGAAAUCGUCUCGCUCAACGGGAGCGGGCAGGGUAGACUACCAGACUAGGGACCAGGAGAGGUGGGCGGUAUUCCUGAGGGAGCGGUAAAAUGUGAUAACCUCAGGAGGACCACCAAUGGCGAAGGCAGUCCACCAGCAUGGAUCCGACGGUGAGGGACGAAAGCUAGGGGAGCGAUCCGGAUUAGAUACCCGAGUAGUCCUAGCCGUAAACGCUGCAUGCCAGAUGUUACACAAUCUUCGGGAUUGUGUAGUGUCGUAACGAAGGUGUUAAGCAUGCCACCUGGGAAUUACGGUCGCAAGGCUGAAACUUAAAGGAAUUGGCGGGGGAGCAC